rnacentral:lncRNA from 1 species
GAAAGAUCCUGGGCCAAGUCCCAGAGCUCCAAGUGCUUCCUAUUUACAUGGCAGGAAAGACCAACACGCAAGAAACAGAGGCCAGUGAAGGCAGGUUUAGAAUGGACUGUGACAGUGACAGUGGGAAGUGGAGAGAACAGGUGCAGUCAGGAAGACUUCCUGGAGGAAGAGACUCUCUCCAUAGCCCUCUCUGAUGCAACGAGCUGCCAGGGCGGAGAGGCCCACAUGGCAAAGGACUGAUAGUGGCCACAGCUGACAGCUGAGAGGGGCUGAGGCCUUCAUCCUACAGCCCUAAGAAACUGAAUCCUGCCAACACCAGCAGCUUGGAAGUGGAUCCCCCCUAGUGGAGCCAUGAGAUGAGACCUCAGCCCCUCCAACACUUGGAUGGCAACUUAUGAGAAACCCUGAGCAGAGAACCCAGCCAAGCAGUGCCCAGACUUCUAGCCACAGAAACUGAGAUGACAAAUGAGUGUUAUUUCAAGCCACACACUUUGAGUUAAUUUGUUUCCAGAACAGAUAGCUAAAACAAACGCUGAUUUGAGUUUUAUAUAAAGAUGGAUGAUGUAGCAAUUAAACUUGGCAAAUG